GCUUACGGCCAUACCACCCUGAGCACGCCCGAUCUCGUCUGAUCUCGGAGGCUAAACAGGGUCGGGCCUGGUUAGUACUGGGAUGGGAGACCGCCUGGGAAUACCAGGUGCUGCAAGCU
rnacentral:rRNA from 1 species